UUGUCCCUACGGGACGCAGCAGUAGGGAAUCUUCCACAAUGGGCGAAAGCCUGAUGGAGCAACGCCGCGUGGGUGAAGAAGGUCUUCGGAUCGUAAAACCCUGUUGUUAGAGAAGAAAGUGCGUGAGAGUAACUGUUCACGUUUCGACGGUAUCUAACCAGAAAGCCACGGCUAACUACGUGCCAGCAGCCGCGGUAAUACGUAGGAGGCAAGCGUUAUCCGGAUUUAUUGGGCGUAAAGAGAACGCAGGCGGUCUUUUAAGACUGAUGUGAAAGCCUUCGGC
rnacentral:rRNA from 1 species